rfam:Canis lupus familiaris chromosome X, whole genome shotgun sequence.
AGGAGGAACAACCACAGUGGUGGUGGCCAGCUCUGGAGCCCUGGAUUCAGCUCCCGCAGGAACUACUCCGUCUGCAGGGCCUGGAUGUUCCGGGGCGGG